GUUUUCUGGCGUGAGUGCGCGUGUGGAAAACCAGGAGUUGGCCGUUUCUUUUGACAGGUUCACGCAGGAUUGCGAUGAUUUUGGAUUUCACCCGAACAGUGGGGCGACGUCGUAGUCGGGAAUGAACAGGCCAUUAGCUGUCGAAUUUAUGGGCUAUAACGAGGGGUUCCCGCGGCGGCAAAUGAGCAUUGCACCUGGAGCAGCCCACCAUCCAGCAUGUUCCCAGGAGCGGCGCCCGACCCCGGCCUCGCCGCCAAAGUGACCACCACCACCGCUGUCCUUCUCGCGGCCCUCGCCCUCCUCCGCCUCCCCGCUGCCGAGGCCCAGCUCUACAACAACCCCAACUUCCGCUGCCCCUACAAGCCCAUCUGCGCAAGGUAAGGAUCACAUCAAUUUUUUGUGACAAUAUUCCUGUUAUUUUCACAUUCAUUCCGUAAAGUAAUAACGAUAGAAUUUCUAUUCCUUACAUAAUAUCUGACACCUGCGAUUCAGAGCAUUGAGAACAUUUUUACUAGUGUCUUAUAUCUUAUAAAUUAGUUGUUAUGUGUAAAAACUAACGUUAAAUAUAUUUAU
rnacentral:lncRNA from 1 species